GACGAACGCUGGCGGCGUGCUUAACACAUGCAAGUCGAACGAUGAAGCCGGAGCUUGCUCUGGUGAAUUAGUGGCGAACGGGUGAGUAACACGUGAGUAACCUGCCCUUGACUCUGGGAUAACUGCUAGAAAUGGUAGCUAAUACCGGAUACGACCCUCGGAGGCAUCUCCAGGGGGUGGAAAGAAUUUCGGUCAAGGAUGGACUCGCGGCCUAUCAGCUAGUUGGUGAGGUAACGGCUCACCAAGGCGACGACGGGUAGCCGGCCUGAGAGGGUGGCCGGCCACACUGGGACUGGGACACGGCCCAGACUCCUACGGGAGGCAGCAGUGGGGAAUAUUGCACAAUGGGCGCAAGCCUGAUGCAGCAACGCCGCGUGAGGGAUGACGGCCUUCGGGUUGUAAACCUCUUUUAGUAGGGAAGAAGCGAAAGUGACGGUACCUGCAGAAAAAGCACCGGCUAACUACGUGCCAGCCGCCGCGGUAA
rnacentral:rRNA from 1 species